UACGAAGGGUGCUAGCGUUGUUCGGAAUUACUGGGCGUAAAGCGCGCGUAGGCGGCGAUGCAAGUCAGAGGUGAAAUCCCAGGGCUCAACCCUGGAAUUGCCUUUGAAACUGCAUUGCUUGAGUGUCGGAGGGGAUAGCGGAAUUGCUAAUGUAGAGGUGAAAUUCGUAGAUAUUAGCAGGAACACCGGUGGCGAAGGCGGCUAUCUGGACGACAACUGACGCUGAGGCGCGAAAGCGCGGGGAUCAAACAGG
rnacentral:rRNA from 1 species